rnacentral:rRNA from 1 species
AAUAGAUACCCAGGUAGUCCACGCCCUAAACGAUGCAUAUUUGGUGUGGGCAGUUCAUUCUGUCCGUGCCGGAGCUAACGCGUUAAAUAUGCCGCCUGGGGAGUACAGUCGCAAGGCUGAAACUCAAAGGAAUUGACGGGGGCCCGCACAAGCGGUGGAGCAUGUGGUUCAAUUCGACGCAACGCGAAGAACCUUACCUGGGCUCGAACGGCUGAUCAACGGCGGCGGAAACGUUGCUACCCCGCAAGGGGGUUCAGUCGAGGUGCUGCAUGGCUGUCGUCAGCUCGUGUCGUGAGAUGUUGGGUUAAGUCCCGCAACGAGCGCAACCCUUGUCCUGUGUUGCCAUCAUUCAGUUGGGAACUCGCAGGAGACCGCCAGGGGAUAACCUGGAGGAAGGUGGGGAUGACGUCAAGUCCUCAUGGCCUUUAUGUCCAGGGCUACACACGUGCUACAAUGGACGGUACAAAGCGCAGCGAACUCGCGAGAAGGAGCCAAAUCGCAAAAAAACCCGUUCUCGAGUUCGGAUUGCAC